rnacentral:rRNA from 1 species
GACGAACGCUGGCGGCGUGCCUAAUACAUGCAAGUCGAACGCUUCUUUUUCCACCGGAGCUUGCUCCACCGGAAAAAGAGGAGUGGCGAACGGGUGAGUAACACGUGGGUAACCUGCCCAUCAGAAGGGGAUAACACUUGGAAACAGGUGCUAAUACCGUAUAACAAUCGAAACCGCAUGGUUUUGAUUUGAAAGGCGCUUUCGGGUGUCGCUGAUGGAUGGACCCGCGGUGCAUUAGCUAGUUGGUGAGGUAACGGCUCACCAAGGCGACGAUGCAUAGCCGACCUGAGAGGGUGAUCGGCCACAUUGGGACUGAGACACGGCCCAAACUCCUACGGGAGGCAGCAGUAGGGAAUCUUCGGCAAUGGACGAAAGUCUGACCGAGCAACGCCGCGUGAGUGAAGAAGGUUUUCGGAUCGUAAAACUCUGUUGUUAGAGAAGAACAAGGAUGAGAGUAACUGUUCAUCCCUUGACGGUAUCUAACCAGAAAGCCACGGCUAACUACGUGCCAGCAGCCGCGGUAAUACGUAGGUGGCAAGCGUUGUCCGGAUUUAUUGGGCGUAAAGCGAGCGCAGGCGGUUUCUUAAGUCUGAUGUGAAAGCCCCCGGCUCAACCGGGGAGGGUCAUUGGAAACUGGGAGACUUGAGUGCAGAAGAGGAGAGUGGAAUUCCAUGUGUAGCGGUGAAAUGCGUAGAUAUAUGGAGGAACACCAGUGGCGAAGGCGGCUCUCUGGUCUGUAACUGACGCUGAGGCUCGAAAGCGUGGGGAGCAAACAGGAUUAGAUACCCUGGUAGUCCACGCCGUAAACGAUGAGUGCUAAGUGUUGGAGGGUUUCCGCCCUUCAGUGCUGCAGCUAACGCAUUAAGCACUCCGCCUGGGGAGUACGACCGCAAGGUUGAAACUCAAAGGAAUUGACGGGGGCCCGCACAAGCGGUGGAGCAUGUGGUUUAAUUCGAAGCAACGCGAAGAACCUUACCAGGUCUUGACAUCCUUUGACCACUCUAGAGAUAGAGCUUCCCCUUCGGGGGCAAAGUGACAGGUGGUGCAUGGUUGUCGUCAGCUCGUGUCGUGAGAUGUUGGGUUAAGUCCCGCAACGAGCGCAACCCUUAUUGUUAGUUGCCAUCAUUUAGUUGGGCACUCUAGCAAGACUGCCGGUGACAAACCGGAGGAAGGUGGGGAUGACGUCAAAUCAUCAUGCCCCUUAUGACCUGGGCUACACACGUGCUACAAUGGGAAGUACAACGAGUCGCAAAGUCGCGAGGCUAAGCUAAUCUCUUAAAAGCUUCUCUCAGUUCGGAUUGUAGGCUGCAAACUCGCCUACAUGAAAGCCGGAAUCGCUAGUAAUCGCGGAAUCAGCACGCCGCGGUAAUUACGUUUCCCGGGCCU